UGGCUCAGGACGAACGCUGGCGGCGUGCCUAAUACAUGCAAGUCGAACGGUCUUUCUAUGGAAGCUUGCUUCCACUGAAAGAUAGUGGCGAACGGGUGAGUAACACGUGGGUAACCUGCCCAUAAGAGGGGGAUAACAUCCGGAAACGGGUGCUAAUACCGCAUAGUUUUCUUGAUCGCAUGAUCGGGAAAGGAAAGACGGCCUUUGUGCUGUCGCUUAUGGAUGGACCCGCGGCGUAUUAGUUAGUUGGUGAGGUAACGGCUCACCAAGACGAUGAUACGUAGCCGACCUGAGAGGGUGAUCGGCCACAUUGGGACUGAGACACGGCCCAAACUCCUACGGGAGGCAGCAGUAGGGAAUCUUCCGCAAUGGACGAAAGUCUGACGGAGCAACGCCGCGUGAGUGAAAGAAGGUUUUCGGAUCGUAAAACUCUGUUGUCAGAGAAGAACAAGUUGGAGAGUAACUGCUCCAGCCCUGACGGUAUCUGACCAGAAAGCCACGGCUAACUACGUGCCAGCCGCGGC
rnacentral:rRNA from 1 species